UCUAGAGGCUUCCGCAAUGGGGGAAACCCUGACGGAGCGACGCCGCGUGUGGGAUGAAGUCUUUCGGGAUGUAAACCACUUUCGCUGGGGAAGAAGGCCCUGGUCGUGAACCAGGGAUUGACGGUACCCGGUAAAGAAGCCCCGGCUAAGUCCGUGCCAGCAGCCGCGGUAAUACGGGCGGGGCAAGCGUUGUUCGGAUUUAUUGGGCGUAAAGGGCGCGUAGGCGGUCAUUUAAGUCUGGUGUGAAAUCUCCACCGCUCAACGGGGAGUGUGCACUGGAAACUGGGUGACUUGAGGCCAUGAGAGGAAAGCGGAAUUCCUGGUGUAGCGGUGAAAUGCGUAGAUAUCAGGAAGAACACCGGUGGCGAAGGCGGCUUUCUGGCAUGGUUCUGACGCUGAGGCGCGAAAGCGUGGGGAGCAAACAG
rnacentral:rRNA from 1 species